rnacentral:rRNA from 1 species
AUGGAGGCCGUGCAUGAGGGCAAUGGAGGAGGGAGCGGCCUGGUGGUGACGGAGCUGAGCCACAUCAAGGAGCUGGUGAAGCAGCUGGACGUGCACCUGGGGGGCUCGCCCGACCUCUGCAAGCUGCUCGCCCAGCAGAUCUUCGCCGUCACCGAGCGGUCCAUCGGCAUGAUCAGGUCCGGCCACUUCAACGGCCCCAAGCGCUCGGCCGCCGGCGCCGGCCUCGACUCGCCGCCGCUCUCCGCCACGCCCAGCCCCCUCAGCGGCGUCUCCAACACGCCCUUCAAGCCCAACAAGAAGAGGAAGACUUCGGAGAAAGGGGGGCGUCAGAUCAGGGUGAGCUCGGCCGGAGAAGGGGCGGACGCCCCGGUCGACGACGGCCGCAGCUGGAGGAAGUACGGCCAGAAGGAGAUCCUCGGAGCCCAGCACCCGAGGGCAUACUACCGUUGCACGUACCAGAAGACCCAGGGAUGCGCGGCGACGAAGCAGGUGCAGCGCGCCGACGACGACCCGGCGCUCUUCGACGUGAUCUACCACGGCGAGCACACCUGCGUUCACAAGACGGCGGCGGCGGCGGCGGGCAUGGUGCAGCCGGCCGGCAAGAACCCGGACGCGGAAAGCCUUCUGCAGAGCCUGAGCUCGAACCUGACGGUGAAGACGGAGGGGCUCACGGCGGCGGGAGCGCAGGGCUGGAGCGCCACCACGCCCUUCAGCUUCUCCUCGCCGGCCGUGAGCGGCAUGACGCCGCCGGAGCAGCAGCACCACCCGUUCUCCACGCCGUCGACGCCGGAGAACUGCUUCGUGUCGAUGCCCACGUCGCUCGAACCCUCGCCGGCGACCUCGGGCUCGAACCACAUGUGCAUGACCCCGUUCCAUGCGCAGUCCGAGCUCCAAACAAUGGUGUCUGCGCUCGUGGAGGCGACGAGCAUGCCGCCGGCCGACACGGAGGAGGCCGCCUUCUCCUACUGGGGCUUCGACGACUCUGCCUUGGACGUUAACAUCCUCGACGAGGACGUUGACAACUUCGAUAUUUCUGCCUUCUUCGCAUGA